GGAGGUAUAGCUCAGUGGUAGAGUGCAUGCCUAGCAUGCAUGAGGUCCUGGAUUCAUUCCCAGUGCCUCCA
rnacentral:tRNA from 1 species